GUGACCCCUAGACUCAAAAUCUUGGAUCGAGGGGCAUGAUAAUUAAUAUGGUAUUAGAGUAUAAGUGGAUAAGUUAUGACGCAUAGAAUCAAAUAUAGGAUGAGUGUAGAUGGAUAGACAUUAGAGACAUCGGGGUAUAGAUCUAUGAUGAUUGCAAUAUAAGUUUAUCUCAUGAUUUUUGACAAAGCCUUGUAAAUAUGUAUGGAAGGAUUUCCAAGGAAUAAUAAUUCAUAGAGUUUGAUAUAUGAUAGACAAUCUGUAGAUCAUAUUAUGAUUAGUUGAAUUUUAAUCUAAAGUAAUGGCA
rnacentral:lncRNA from 1 species